GCCAGGUGUGGUGGCCCAAGCCUGUAAUCCCAGUGACUCGGGAGGCUGAGGCAGGAGGAUUGUGAGUUUAAACCCAGCCUCAGUAACCUAGUGAGGCCCUAAGCAAAUCAAUGAGACCCUGUCCCUA
rnacentral:sRNA from 1 species